GUUAACUACAAAUAGGUAAAUUCUAUUGCACGAAAGUGCAAGAUCUAAUUUGAUUAAUAUUUUAGUAUUAAGGUGUAGCAUAACUGGUUAUAAGUGAAAUUAGGGGUGAUAGGCUUUUCAAGUGCACUGAUAACUUGAUUUACAAGAAAUGUAUUAGUACAUUUACAAAUUAAAAGUGAUUAGGCUUUUAAUAAUAAUUACUAUUUAUUUUCUUUAUUAUUGGAUUUAACGAUCGGAUUAUUAUUAUAUAAUCAUACAAUUAAAAAUAGUAUUAUAACUACUGUAAAGUAUAUAAUUAUUAUAAAUAUUUAUAAUGUUAAUAUUAGUAUACGCAUAAUAGGCAUCACUAAUGAACUCGGCAAUAAACUUUUCAACUGUUUACCAAAAACAUAACCAGAGGUUAUUUUCUUUGGCUUCUUCUGCUCAAUGGUCUUAAAUAGCCGCAGUACUCUGACUGUGCAAAGGUAGCAUAAUAAUUUGGCUUAUAAUUGAAGUCUAGUAUCAAUGAAUGUAUGGGGAGUAACUCUAUCAGUGAUGCACUAGAAAUUACUAAUUACGUGCAAAUACGUAAAGUUAAAUAAUAGACGAGAAGACCCUAGAAAUUUUUACAAUUCUAUCCGUUUUUGCUGGGGCGGCAAAGUAACAAAAAACUUACUUUAUUAACAUGAAGAUUAUAUUCAGUAUGAUUAAAUUACUCUAGGGAUAACAGCAUAAUUUAUUAUAAGUUUGUGACCUCGAUGUUGGAUUAGGUAUUUAAAGUUUAGAAG
rnacentral:rRNA from 1 species